rnacentral:ncRNA from 2 species
ACUUUUAGUAACGAAGUCGCUGACGUCACACUGCCGAGAAAAGCUUCUAGUGAGUAGUUAACUGCCCGUACCGCAAACCGACACAGGUAGUCGAGGAGAGAAUCCUAAGGUGAGCGAGAGAACUCUCGUUAAGGAACUCGGCAAAAUGACCCCGUAACUUCGGAAGAAGGGGUGCUGGCCGCAAGGCCAGCCGCAGUGAAAAGGCCCAGGCGACUGUUUAUCAAAAACACAGGUUUCUGCAAAAUCGUAAGAUGAAGUAUAGGGGCUGACGCCUGCCCGGUGCUGGAAGGUUAAAAGGAUGGGUUAGCUUCGGCGAAGCUCAGAAUUGAAGCCCCAGUAAACGGCGGCCGUAACUAUAACGGUCCUAAGGUAGCGAAAUUCCUUGUCGGGUAAGUUCCGACCCGCACGAAAGGCGUAACGAUCUGGGCACUGUCUCAACGAGAGACUCGGUGAAAUUGAAAUCCCUGUGAAGAUGCAGGGUACCCGCGACAGGACGGAAAGACCCCAUGGAGCUUUACUGUAGCUUGAUAUUGAGUGUUUGUACUGCUUGUACAGGAUAGGUAGGAGCCGUAGAAAGCGGAACGCUAGUUUCGCUGGAGGCGCUGGUGGGAUACUACCCUUGCAUUAUGACCACUCUAACCCGCAGCACUAAGCGUGCUGGGAGACAGUGUCAGGUGGGCAGUUUGACUGGGGCGGUCGCCUCCCAAAAGGUAACGGAGGCGCCCAAAGGUUCGCUCAGAAUGGUUGGAAAUCAUUCGCAGAGUGUAAAGGCACAAGCGAGCUUGACUGCGAGACAGACAGGUCGAGCAGGGACGAAAGUCGGGCUUAGUGAUCCGGUGGUUCCGCAUGGAAGGGCCAUCGCUCAACGGAUAAAAGCUACCCUGGGGAUAACAGGCUUAUCUCCCCCAAGAGUCCACAUCGACGGGGAGGUUUGGCACCUCGAUGUCGGCUCAUCGCAUCCUGGGGCUGUAGUCGGUCCCAAGGGUUGGGCUGUUCGCCCAUUAAAGCGGUACGCGAGCUGGGUUCAGAACGUCGUGAGACAGUUCGGUCCCUAUCCGUCGCGGGCGUAGGAAAUUUGAGAGGACCUGUCCUUAGUACGAGAGGACCGGGAUGGACAUACCGCUGGUGUACCAGUUGUUCCGCCAGGAGCAUCGCUGGGUAGCUAUGUAUGGACGAGAUAAACGCUGAAAGCAUCUAAGUGUGAAACUCGCCUCAAGAUGAGAUUUCCCAUUCCUUUAUGGAAGUAAGACUCCACAGAGAUGAUGUGGUAGAUAGGAUGGAAGUGGAAGUGCAGCGAUGCAUGGAGCGGACCAUUACUAAUCGGUCGAGGACUUAACCAA